AGGUCUUAUAGUCUAGUGGUUAGGACAGCGGUUUUUGAGACGAUCAUGUGAUCCCCAUUACCGUUAGCCCCGGUUCGAACCCGGGUAAGACCUU